AAACAAAGUCAAGUGGAAUAACUAAAAGUCCGCAAGCACUUUUCAGGUGGCGUGAAAAUUUAAUUCGUUAAAAUAAAUCAAAUAAUAGAGUAAAUCGCAUAGUAAUGAAAUUUAUACCCUUGCACACGAAGAACACUGCGAUUAUAUAUAAGAACGCGUUAUGCUCAUCCGCCAGUAUCAUCGUACUAAUCUUCAUCAUACUGUCCGUGAUGAUUCCGAUGUUGUUGGUGUCGCUGCUUAGUCCAUAUUCCGGCAUUUCGGAGUCGCGCGUUCUCUUUGAGCAGCCUCGUUUGCAGUUCAAGUUCCAUAGCAUAUUCACUGCUGAAACGGAAAAGAGGAGUAAUGUAGCCGAUAGUAUUGGUUUGGUGGUGUGCAGCACAUUUCCUCAGCUAAAUGCCCUUAUGCAAGAACGAAGUGGAAGCUGUGAGGGCAUUCAAUACCGGACUGAUGAUUUCGAUCACGAUGGCACUAUUGACCGUGUACAUUUCCAACAACAACUUGACUCACUACCGGGCGCCAUUAGAAGUUUCGAUCUUGCAGUAUUUUUUGAGGCGAAACUGAAGCAUAAAUGCCCGCUCUCGCCACCGGCGCUGCUUACUUACCAGACUAUUAUCCCAUCGGCGGUGCAGAUGCGUUCUGGCACUAUUUUAGUUAAAGCUGAACUGAAACUCCAACAAUACAUAGAGUUUACUUGCCCUUUCUUGGGACGCAAUGUAAAGACACAAUUUCGCGAAGUGGAGCUUAACUCUAAUAAUAGUAAUGUUGACGUGCACGACUAUCAAAUUCCAUCGCUGCUUGAGCAAUUGAAGACGAACCCUGCGUAUUUUAAGCUCUCAGUGCAGGAAACUUACUUUCGACAUGAACAAGACAACAUUCUUCGCAUACAACUAGACUUAGAUGUUUUACAGGUGCCCGCGCGAUACCAUCUGAGUGUUUGGGAGCGCUUGGGCCAAUUCUGGUUAUAUUUCGCUUCCUUCUUCGGUAUAUCUUUCUACGUUAUGAAUAAGAUUAAGGAUUAUCUUUUUGGCCAACACAUCAUUCGAGCAUGGGAGGUAAUUCCGUGGAAGAAGCUGUACUGACACGCGCAUGAUCACUCAGGAGAGGAUUACAUUGAUUUGGAUGAUUUCUCGACGUCUGUUAUGUACUAAAAAUAUAUCAAAUCGAAACAAGCAAAAAAUAACAAAAUGUGACUCAUUCAAAUUUAAUGUUGAGUGGAAAGAAAAAGUGCAUUCUUUUCCAAAAAGUUAUUUAGAAUCCCAUGGCAU